rnacentral:rRNA from 1 species
UACGAAGGGGGGCUAGCGUUGUUCGGAAUCACUGGGCGUAAAGGGCGCGUAGGCGGCUUUAUAAGUCGGGGGUGAAAGCCGUGUGGCUCAACCACAGAAUUGCCUUCGAUACUGUAGAGCUUGAGACCGGAAGAGGUAAGUGGAACUGCGAGUGUAGAGGUGAAAUUCGUAGAUAUUCGCAAGAACACCAGUGGCGAAGGCGGCUUACUGGUCCGGUUCUGGACGCUGAGGCGCGAAAGCGUGGGGAGCAAACAGG